AUUGAACGCUGGCGGCAGGCCUAACACAUGCAAGUCGAACGAGUGGCGGACGGGUGAGUAAUGUCUGGGAAACUGCCUGAUGGAGGGGGAUAACUACUGGAAACGGUAGCUAAUACCGCAUACCAUCGGAUGUGCCCAGAUGGGAUUAGCUGGUAGGUGGGGUAAAGGCUCACCUAGGCGACGAUCCCUAGCUGGUCUGAGAGGAUGACCAGCCAAACUGGAACUGAGGCACGGUCCAGACUCCUCCGUGAGUCAGCAUUGGGGAAUAUUGCACAAUGGGCGCAAGCCUGAUAAAGCCAUGCCGCUUGUAUGAAGAAGGCCUUCGGGUUGUAAAGUACUUUCAGCGGGGAGGCGUUACCCGCAGAAGAAGCACCGGCUAACUCCGUGCCAGCAGCCGCGGUAAUAC
rnacentral:rRNA from 1 species